GGGCCCGCACAAGCGGUGGAGUAUGUGGUUUAAUUCGAUGCAACGCGAAGAACCUUACCAGGGUUUGACAUCCUGCGAAUCUCUUGGAAACAGGAGAGUGCCUUCGGGAACGCAGUGACAGGUGGUGCAUGGCUGUCGUCAGCUCGUGUCGUGAGAUGUUGGGUUAAGUCCCGCAACGAGCGCAACCCACGUCUUUAGUUGCCAGCAUUUAGUUGGGCACUCUAGAAAGACUGCCGGUGACAAACCGGAGGAAGGUGAGGAUGACGUCAAGUCAGCAUGCCCCUUAUGUCCUGGGCUACACACGUGCUACAAUGAUAAAGACAAAGAGUUGCCAACCUGCGAAGGUGCGCUAAUCUACAUAAACUUUAUCUAAGUUCGGAUUGCAGGCUGCAACUCGCCUGCAUGAAGUUGGAAUUGCUAGUAAUCGC
rnacentral:rRNA from 1 species